AGAGUGCAGAAGAUGGAGAGUGAAAGCUCUGCACAGCAAAGAGAACAGGAGUCUUUGAUGGCUGUUAUUUACAAAUCACUGAAAGAGGAGCACCAGGCUGAGCUGCAGAAGUUGCGGAGACAGGUGGCACAGGAGAGUCAGAGAGCAGUGCUGGGGCUCGAGAAGGCCGUUCAGCUGGCAGAGAAAGAGGCCGACAGGCUUCGGCUGAUGCUGGAAGAAAGCAAGAGCAGCCAUACCCAAAUCACAGCUGAGUUGGAACAGCAGCUCAGGCACUGGGCCAAGGAGCUGGGAGCAGAGUGCCAGCAUCUACACCUCUUAAUGGAGCAGAGUGGAGCCAAACAAAGUUCUGUGCAACUACUUGACAGUCCUACAGCAGCUGAGGCGCUUAUAAACCUGAGAGCACGAAGAGAGCAAUUGAAGCACUUGAUUAACCACCUACAGCAGGAGCUUCAUUUACAGAAGCAAACCACUGAGCAGCUGAGGAAAGACAAGGUAUAGUUAAGACUGCCUGUUGUUUGCAAAUACAGCACGUUAAAUGUAUACAUGAAUACAAGUUCGUAUUUUUUUCAGGACCGAGAAUUGAGCAUUCAGAGGCAACAGCUGAGGAUGGACAGAGACCUAGCCUUGGAUUCUCUAAAGGAGCGUCUCAUUCAGGAGCACAUCGAGGAGUUAAGCAGUCUGAACUGGCCUUAUAUGUGUGAUGGUGGAGCUGAGGGAGGAGUGGCACCAUCUCUUCGCAAACAGCUGAAGGCCAAAGACCUGGAGCUCAGGCAGGUUCAGAGGAGCAUGGCUCAGUGGAAGGAACAGACUGCAGCUCGUCUGUCGUGCAAGUUUGAAGAAGAGUUGACGGCUGAACUGGAAAGGUGCAAGACAAAGUUGUUAAGGGGCAGAAAACCAUCAAAGUCUCGAGAGGAGAGGCAAAGAGAGUCAGAGAGGCCUGAAGGAGAGAUGACGCUUAGUGCAAAGGUAGCUCAGAAUUCAGCUUGCUCUCCCUCCCUCCAUGUUGUGGACUCUGCUGCCUCCCACAGCCCCUCAGACGUGGCUUCAUUUAAGCUUCUACGUUACCUCCAGAGCAGAGUCAAGCAGCUCCGUGUAGAAAACCAGGCCUACACCUGGAGCCCAACGCUUGCAAAUACAAUCCCUUUAGAUUUGUCAGGAUCUUAUCUUACCACAGUGGGUGCAUUGUUUUAAGAGCUAGUCGCUGCACUUACAGUGGUGAUAAACAAGUAAACUGCAGGCAUUUGUACUUAAGGCACACUGCAUUUCUUUACAUUUAUUAAUGACAUGGAGCACUGUCCUCCAGAAGCACCACAGGAACAAGAAGCAUCACAAAGAACCUGUUGUCCCCUGUAAGAGGCACAACACCUCCAGAAGUCCUGUCAAAAUAUGUCAAAGUACUUCUACGAGGAAAAAACGACUGUAAAUGUGGCAGUAUCAUUAACAUUUCAAUAUUAUUUCUGUGCUUGUCCUCAUAAUAUUAUUUAAAACAUGUAAUACUGGUGUCUCCUUUAUAGAUCACUCAAGGUCAAGACUUUGCCGGGAUUCAGAGUCACUCAACAAUUAGGACAGUUUUACGUUAAGGACAUGAAACCCAACUGUCGGCGUUACACACACCGUUAUAUUAUGUAAUGCAUUUCAAGCUCUUUUUUGUGGCCACCUAAAUGAAUCAUUUACUGUUACAUGUGUUUAAGAUUGACGAUUAACAAGCAGGUCACACUGACAAAUGACACAACCGAAGUCAACUUUUAUGGGUUACGGUUACAAUGAACUCUGCAUGUCAAAGAACCUCAUGAAGCUGAGGUGGGUCUCUUUUGUAACUAUAAAUGUUACAAUAUGUUAAAUUGUACAUUGUAUAAUUGAACAUUUCUGGCAAGUUCAAACAGAAGUAUGUCAUUAACAUCUUAAUUAAUUUAGUUAAAAUGUCUCAUCUUAAUAACAUAAUUCACUGAGAUUGACACCAGAUUAAUCAUAUCUGCUAUCGCACAUGCUGUCUGUUCAUUUCAUUUUGUUUGACAUGCUUGUGUUCACAAGGUGUUUCAGCCGGCUGGAGUAUUUGUGUUGUCCGUUCUUUCUGUGUUAUCAAAUGUUUAAAAGGACAAAGUAGGACCAGUGCCUAUUAUUUAACAACUAUUUCCCUAUUUAAGUAAACAAUCGUCAGCAUCAGUCUUGUACUCUGAGCCGGCCCGAACUGAACUAAUAAAGACAAUAAAUGACAUGGCUCUAAUUGAAAUGGCAUUGGACACUAUUUGUAUUAAUUUUGUGUGACAACUUGGAGGCUGUUGCACUCGAUAACCUAAUAGUUCAUUGAUUAAAAUCAUAUUUAGCUAAUUGUUUUCAAUAUACAGUAUAUGUAUGGUCACUUGUCCACAGGGGUUAAUCCUGGGAACCCUACUCUUCUUGAUACUGUGUUAUGAUAAACGCAUCAAUGUUUAUCCAACAAGGGGAUCACUUUUACUGAAUUCCAGCUAAAUUUAAUCCAGGGAAAACCAACUGUCAUUUAUAAUCUCUGGACAAUGAAAGAGUUUAUUUAAAAACAUGAGAUCAUAACACUCCAUGGCUGGUUGCAAUUCUGGUUGUGUAUAUAUAUAUGAAAAUACAAUCAAAUUAUAUAAAAAGGAGCAUUUCCAUAACUUCUUUACAAAUUUCUCAAAGCUCACAGAUGGCGUACUUACUAAACACUAUAGGAAGAUAAUCUUUCUACCACAACGGGAGUCAAGCAGGAAGUCAUACUGUGAGCAAAGGUGAACGCACAGGAACAAUAUUUAGUGUCCUGUUAAUGCCCUGAAGAACAUAAAAACUGUACAAAAUGCAAGUGCUGCACACUAAUGUUUAACAAAGAUCAAAGUUAUGUACAGUACAUCGGUGUUGGUCAGGCUUUGGCAAAAUGCUGUACAACUGAUCUCAUAUCUGAGGGCAAAAGUUCAUUCUGUAAGCUAUAUAAAAUCGGUAACGUAAGGCUGCAAAUAGAACUUGUCAAAGUCUUGAGAUCAUGACAGUUGUCUCGGAGAAUUAAAUAAAUACAACUAGAUUAUGUCAGCUUUAUUGUUACAUUUUAAAUAUAGUUGUAUGGGAUUCUAAAAAAAACAACCCUAAACUGAGUGACUGUAAACCAAAACGUGUUGCACAAACAGCACAAUAUUUAUGUAAAGCCAACAGGCCUUGCCAAACUGACCAAUUUCAAGUGGUUCCGAGUCCUUUAUAGUCUUUUGUUUCAAGUCUUUUACUUUGGCAUGC
rnacentral:lncRNA from 1 species